UGGUUUGACAGUCACUCAUGGAUGAAAGUACUUUUGUGGGAGUCCAGAAGUCCAGUGAGGAAGUUCUAGCAUUCUUUUGGAUAAAAAAAAAAAAUCAGAGAUUGGGUGCAUUGAAGAGGGAAGCAGCUUCUGACCCUCAGGGGUGCUGACCAGGGAGGUAGUAGUGGCCGGAAAAGCAGAAAAGAACAAAAGACUGACCAUCCUCAAGCAAGAGGGAAUUCUGUCAACAGACGGCAUUUGCAACAUGGGUUCUUCCCUGGGUUUCCAUACGGAUGACCUUCAAACUGGAAGUGCAACAUGGGAUUUUCUCUGGAUCUCCAGACUGCCAGCUUAUCCUGCAAAUUUUGGAUUUGGCAGUCUCCAUGAUCAUGUAAGCCAAUUACUCAAAAUAAAUCUAUACAUAAA